AGCUGGUUGCUGCUACGAGGAAGAAAAACACAUGCAAGACAGAAAAGCAGAUCUAAGCUGGAACUCGCAGCUAGAGAAGUCAUUUUUUUGGAGCCGUGACUGAAGACUGAAACAUUAGAGAGUCAUAAGAACUUUUGACAGCAGUACGUGUUUCAUAGUAACCUGCAGAAGAUAACUGGAUAACAGUUCGGACUGGAUAACAACAAUUUCUAGCCUGAGUAACUUGCCAAUGCUAACGAAGAUGGAAAUGGGCUUUCACAUCUAACUCUUACAGGGUUUUCCUGUAUGUUGUCUAAAAUGGAUUUUCAUUUUCUCACCAAUGGCAGGAACUUACCCAGCUCGUAGCUAGGAUGGAAUAAACCACCUAAUCCAGGCUGUGAAGGGAGAUCACUUUGGGUAUGAAUGUUGGAUCUCAACAAAGCACUGCUUCUUCUGAAGUGAGAGCUGUAGUGUGCAUGAAGAUGAAUCCACACCAUGCUGGCCACUGGAUUUUUGGGGUGUGCCCUGUGCUGAUGGCUGUUGUCUAUUCCCUUCCUGUUAGAUGUGACUACGUUUCAUGGGUGAUCCAGAGGAUUCCAGCUGAAAAGAUGGAUAGAUUUUGGCAAAUUUGUUGUCCUUUUAAAGCCACGACCCUACAAGGCACACAUGGUAUGAGUUGGCCAACAGUAUUCCGGCAGACUCUGUAGACAGCUAUUGAAGUCAAUUUUUGGCAAGGAUUUAGCUAGCUGGGUUGCUACCACACGUUUUUUAUAGCUACUGUGGUUUACUUUGACAUGGAAGGAAUGACGUAGCACACGCAAAAAAGCUUAGAAUGUUACCACUUUAAUACUAAGAGUGUAGACAUCAAAGGGUGGCAAAUGUAUUACUGCAGCUUAAUGAGUUACUGUUUAUCAUUGCAAAUCAGCUGAGGAGUGUUAGCUAGUUAAACUCUGAUAACCUGAUUGCUUGUAGUCUUCUUAGAAGAUUACAAAAUUAGCUUGUCAUUGAUCAGCUUUGAGCAUAUCUGGAUGUGGAUCAGCCAUGCUGAAGUAUGAAGUGGAAGCUGCAUACCUCUAAAAUACCUGUCUUCCCUAGCCCAAUUGUACUUUCUUUUUCAAAUGUGUGCAAUGAUGACUGCACUUACGUGUUUGCUGCCCUAUUCGUUAACUAUGUCUCAGCCAGGAAAUGCAUUAGAGGAUUCCUUGUUCUGCACAUGCUCCAUAUAUGCUUAUAUGAGGACUCCAAGAAAUAAUGUUUAGUCAGAAGGUAAGGCUGCAUUUGUGUUUUACUGAAUUAAAAUGCUAGAUUGGGUCAUAACUGUGAAAAUAAAUUUGCUGUUGUCAGA